rnacentral:tRNA from 1 species
AGUCUUGUAGCAUAGUGGUAAAGAGCUGGGCUCGUAACCGAAAGGUUGCUGGUUUGAUUCCUUGCCAGGGCAC